rnacentral:tRNA from 1 species
UGUGGCAGAUAAAUGCAUUGAAUUUAAGCUUCAAUAAUAAAGUUCCAACUUUCUUUAGAAAUCG